UCUCCUGGAAAAGGGUGGUAAUGCCGGAUGCUCCAGUUGAUCGCAUGGUCUUCUGGGAAAGCUUUCGCGGUAUGGGAUGGGGUCGCGUCCUAUCAGCUUGACGGCGGGGUAACGGCCCACCGUGGCUUCGACGGGUAGCCGGCCUGAGAGGGCGACCGGCCACAUUGGGACUGAGAUACGGCCCAGACUCCUACGGGAGGCAGCAGUGGGGAAUAUUGCACAAUGGGCGCAAGCCUGAUGCAGCGACGCCGCGUGAGGGAUGGAGGCCUUCGGGUUGUAAACCUCUUUUAUCGGGGAGCAAGCGAGAGUGAGUUUACCCGUUGAAUAAGCACCGGCUAACUACGUGCCAGCAGCCGCGGUAAUACGUAGGGUGCAAGCGUUAUCCGGAAUUAUUGGGCGUAAAGGGCUCGUAGGCGGUUCGUCGCGUCCGGUGUGAAAGUCCAUCGCUUAACGGUGGAUCCGCGCCGGGUACGGGCGGGCUUGAGUGCGGUAGGGGAGACUGGAAUUCCCGGUGUAACGGUGGAAUGUGUAGAUAUCGGAAAAGAACACCA
rnacentral:rRNA from 3 species